rnacentral:tRNA from 1 species
GCGAAGGUGGCGGAAUGGCAGACGCACCAGCUUGAGGUGCUGGCGGGGUAACUCCCGUGGAGGUUCGAGUCCUCUCCUUCGCA